rnacentral:rRNA from 1 species
GGUGGCGAACGGGUGAGUAACACGUGGGCAAUCUGCCCUGCACUCUGGGACAAGCCCUGGAAACGGGGUCUAAUACCGGAUACGAGUCUCCAAGGCAUCUUGGUGGACUGUAAAGCUCCGGCGGUGCAGGAUGAGCCCGCGGCCUAUCAGNUUGUUGGUGAGGUAGUGGCUCACCAAGGCGACGACGGGUAGCCGGCCUGAGAGGGCNGACCGGCCACACUGGGACUGAGACACGGCCCAGACUCCUACGGGAGGCAGCAGUGGGGAAUAUUGCACAAUGGGCGAAAGCCUGAUGCAGCGACGCCGCGUGAGGGAUGACGGCCUUCGGGUUGUAAACCUCUUUCAGCAGGGAAGAAGCGAAAGUGACGGNACCUGCAGAAGAAGCGCCGGCUAACUACGUGCCAGNAGCCGCGGUAAAUACGUAGGGCGCAAGCCGUUGUCCGGAAUUAUUGGGCGUAAAAGAGCUCGUAGGCGGCUUUGUCACGUCGGUUUGUGAAAGCCCCGGGGCUUAACCCCGGGUCUGCCAGNCCGAUACGGGCAGGNUAGAGUUCCGGUAGGGGGAGAUCGGAAUUCCUGGGUGNNGCGGGG